AUGCUUAUCUCAUGGGAGAUAUGGACGGAGCGUAAUGCCAGAGUCUUCAGAAACACGACCAUUCCUUCCAUGGUUCUAUUCAGUAAGAUCAAAGCAGAGGUGUCUCUUUGGGCGAUGGCCGGCGUGAAGCACAUGAGUGUUGUAAAGCCGCGAGAGUAG
rnacentral:rRNA from 1 species